rnacentral:rRNA from 1 species
AUAUAAUUUCAUCCAUCUCAUAAGCAGUUGGUAAAUUUUCUGUUGUGUAUAUUUUAGGCUGUUCUUCUCCAGGCAAAUAUUCAAAACCAUCUACUCGUUGAUUUUGAGUAGAAAAUGCAUAAUUUAAUAUUGGAAUAGACAUGAUGAGUCUCCAGAUUGAUCUGUAACUUCAAUAAAAUUUAUAUAUAUAAUGAUUUAUACUAAGUUUCUUUAGUCAAACAUCAACAUUGUUAAAUUAAGAAGUAUUAAAAUCAUUCCACAUUACAAAUUGUAAAUAAAAAUGCUUCAAUACGAUCUUAACUAAAAUAUAAUUUAAUGAAAACAAUUCUUCUUAGUAUAUGCAAUCAUAAUAAAAUAUUAUACUAGAAUUAAUGAAAUUAAAUUUUCUCAUAUUAUUAAUCUUGACUAAAAAAAGUUUAUAUAAAUCUGUUCUUAAAUAUUCAUUGUAAAAUUAGAGUGACUAUAAUGU